AUUCCAGCUCCAAUAGCGUAUAUUAAAGUUGUUGCAGUUAGAACGCUCGUAGUCGGAUUUCGGGGCGUUCCGACCGGUCUGCCGAUGGGUACGCACUGGUCGGCGCGUCCUUCCUUCCGGAGACCGUGCCUACUCUUAACUGAGCGGGGGCGGGAGACGGAUCGUUUACUUUGAAAAAAUCAGAGUGUUUCAAGCAGGCAGGUCGCUCUUGCAUGGAUUAGCAUGGGAUAAUGAAAUAGGACUUUGGUGCUAUUUUGUUGGUUUCGAACACCGAAGUAAUGAUUAACAGGGACAGUCAGGGGCACUCGUAUUCCGCCGAGAGAGGUGAAAUUCUCAGACCAGCGGAAGACGAACUACUGCGAAAGCAUUUGCCAGGGAUGUUUUCAUCA
rnacentral:rRNA from 1 species